GAUGAACGCUAGCGGCAGGCCUAACACAUGCAAGUCGAGGGAGGAGCUUUCGGGCUUCGACCGGCGUACGGGUGCGUAACGCGUAUACAAUCUGCCUUUCACAUAGGGAUAGCCCGAAGAAAUUUGGAUUAAUACCUAAUGGUAUAUAGGAGUGGCAUCACAUUUAUAUUAAAGCUGAGGCGGUGAAAGAUGAGUAUGCGUUCUAUUAGCUAGUUGGAGAGGUAACGGCUCCCCAAGGCGACGAUAGAUAGGGGUUCUGAGAGGGAUAUCCCCCACACUGGUACUGAGAUACGGACCAGACCCCUACGGGAGGCAGCAGUGAGGAAUAUUGGACAAUGGUCGGAAGACUGAUCCAGCCAUGCCGCGUGCAGGAAGACGGCCUUAUGGGUUGUAAACUGCUUUUGCAGGGGAAGAAUAAGGACUACGCGUAGUUUGAUGACGGUACUCUGCGAAUAAGCAUCGGCUAACUCCGUGCCAGCAGCCGCGGUAAUACGGAGGAUGCGAGCGUUAUCCGGAAUCAUUGGGUUUAAAGGGUCCGUAGGCGGGCUAAUAAGUCAGAGGUGAAAGCGCUCAGCUCAACUGAGCAACUGCCUUUGAAACUGUUAGUCUUGAAUGGUUGUGAAGUAGUUGGAAUGUGUAGUGUAGCGGUGAAAUGCUUAGAUAUUACACAGAACACCGAUAGCGAAGGCAUAUUACUAACAAUUAAUUGACGCUGAUGGACGAAGGCGUGGGGAGCGAACAGG
rnacentral:rRNA from 1 species